AUGCGGGCAGUUGUAGUUGCAUUUGCAGGACUGGAUCAUCAUGACGUUCUUGGAAAAUGUCUCCCCAUCUUCGCAGCGGAACCGCAUCUUCACAGUCCUGGAACCGCAGUACUUGGGCCGGUAUUUCUUCACACUCAAACAUCCAGCGUAAGUAAACCUGACUGGUUCGGGGGAUUUCUUGGUCUUGCUGCAUUUCUUGC
rnacentral:lncRNA from 1 species